AAUAUUUCAUUUAAUUGCGUCAGUUUUACUAAAGUUUGUAGACUGUUUCAUUAAAUUAAUUGUGUUUUAUAUUUUUAAUUUUAUUUGAUUAUUUUUAUUUAAUGUUUUACCUGAAUUUUAAUAUAUCUUCACUAAUCCAAAGAAAUAAACCGGCUCAUUCCAAUCUCGGGUUUCAUCCACCACGAGAUAAAGGGACUUAUACCUACUACCGAUUAAAGAAGAUAUUACGAGACGUAUUUGCAUGUCCCUUUGAAGAGGUGCCACUUUCGAAGAGGCAACUAACUGAGAAUAGAUUUACACACAAGAUAUUGAAACGUUUAGAGCGACAUCCUACGACAAAGUUUUGAGGAGUAGCUUUUUAGAAUUAAAUAUAUUUAUUUUAAAAACCUUUUCAUGUCUAGUUUGAUGGUAAUUAAUUUUAUUUAAUAAAUUUAUUAAAUUUUAGAUGAA